UCUGCCCCCACUUUAAGCGCCUCCGCUCACGAGCGCAGCACGUGGAACUCGCCAGCAAUCUAAGUCUGCAACGUGUGUGGAGCAAGGGAGCACCACUUCCUUAGUCCAGACCUUUACCAGAUUGUCGUUGGGACAAUACAAAUCUCAUGACUUUCUCUCCACUAAAUGGCAUCUUGCAUACAACCAGCUUCCAGGUGAUGAACCCUCGAGUUUCCCCUUGCUAAAGGAUCUCCUCUGUCUGGGUCUACUCCUCUGUAAGACAUCUCCACGCUGCCGGGACUCUACCUUCCAGAUCUCCCUGCCCCUGCACUGGACUCCAGCACAGAGGAGAAAUAGCUUACUCCCUAUUGAAAUGCACCUCACACGCUCUCAUUGUUCUUUCUCUGCUAUCCUGAAGAGGACCUGGGGCAGAAGCUCAAGGGAAAAGUGG